UUGCCUUUCACCCUCGUCUCCCAACACCAUCCACUGCUGUCGCCGUAGUUUCCACAGUUUGGCCUGCCAUAUUGCCAUGUCCAUGGCUGUCGACAUAUAAAAUGAUUGGAGAAUUGGAAUAUUGAGAUAUUUGGGAAGAGAUACACUUGCGAAGCGCCGCGCAUUGAACAUAGCGUUUGGAGAGAAUGACAUCGCUAAAGUUGAAUUGAUACAAAAACUGCAACUGAAAUGUUUAUGAAGUACUGGAUGGAAGCUUAUGCUCCUCGGUUGAGGCUCGGUACAGGAUACAAAGCACUUUGGGGAAUCCCAAUUUACACCACCCGCAGAGAGCACUUCCGGACCAAUGGUCUGAUAACAAGGAUAUCCCACAAGAGAUUCAAUUCUCGGCGCC
rnacentral:sRNA from 1 species